rnacentral:rRNA from 1 species
UACAGAGGUCUCAAGCGUUGUUCGGAUUCAUUGGGCGUAAAGGGUGUGUAGGUGGCGCGCUAAGUCGGGUGUGAAAUUUCGGAGCUUAACUCCGAAACUGCAUUCGAUACUGGCGUGCUUGAGGACUGGAGAGGAGACUGGAAUUCAUGGUGUAGCAGUGAAAUGCGUAGAGAUCAUGAGGAAGACCAGUGGCGAAGGCGGGUCUCUGGACAGUUCCUGACAGCUGAGACACGAAGGCCAGGGGAGCAAACGGG